CCUACGGGAGACAGCAGUGGGGAAUAUUGCACAAUGGGGGAAACCCUGAUGCAGCGACGCCGCGUGAAGGAAGAAGUAUUUCGGUAUGUAAACUUCUAUCAGCAGGGAAGAAAAUGACGGUACCUGACUAAGAAGCCCCGGCUAACUACGUGCCAGCCGGCGCGGUCAGACGUAGGGGGCAAGCGUUAUCCGGAUUUACUGGGUGUAAGGGGAGCGUAGGGGGUUUAGCAAGUCAGGAGUGAAAGCCCGGGGCUCAACUCCGGUACUGCUUUUGAAACUGUUGAACUAGAUUGCAGGAGAGGUAAGUGGAAUUCGUAGUGUAGCGGUGAAAUGCGUAGAUAUUAGGAGGAACACCAGUGGCGAAGGCAGCUUACUGGACCGUAAAUGACGCUGAGGCACGAAAGCGUGGGUAUCAAACAGGAUUAGAUACCCUGGUAGUC
rnacentral:rRNA from 1 species